GCCCCUAUAGCUCAGCUGGUAGAGCAACUGAUUUGUAAUCAGUGGGUCCGCGGUUCGAGUCCGUGUGGGGGCACCA
rnacentral:tRNA from 15 species